UACGGGGGGGGCAAGCGUUGUUCGGAAUUACUGGGCGUAAAGGGCUCGUAGGCGGCCAACUAAGUCCGACGUGAAAUCCCCAGGCUUAACCUGGGAACUGCGUCGGAUACUGGAUGGCUUGAAUUCGGGAGAGGGAUGCAGAAUUCCAGGUGUAGCGGUGAAAUGCGUAGAUAUCUGGAGGAAUACCGGUGGCGAAGGCGGCAUCCUGGACCGGCAUUGACGCUGAGGAGCGAAAGCCAGGGGAGCAAAGCGGG
rnacentral:rRNA from 1 species